rnacentral:rRNA from 1 species
GGUUUAAUUACGAAGCAACGACGAAGAACCUUACCAGGUUCUUGACAUCCCGAUGCUUAUUUCUAGAGAUAGAAGUUACUUCGGUACAUCGGUGACAGGUGGUGCAUGGUUGUCGUCAGCUCGUGUCGUGAGAUGUUGGGUUAAGUCCCGCAACGAGCGCAACCCCUAUUGUUAGUUGCCAUCAUUCAGUUGGGCACUCUAGCGAGACUGCCGGUAAUAAGCCGGAGGAAGGUGGGGAUGACGUCAAGUCAGCAUGGCCUUUAUAUCCUAGGCUACACACACGCUACAAUGGCCAACACAAUAGGUUGCUAAGCCGCGAGGUGGAGCCAAUCCAUAAAGUUGGUCUCAGUUCAGAUUGUAGGCUGCAACCCGCCUGCAUGAAGAUGGAGUUGCUAGUAACCGCAGGUCAGCUAUACUGCGGUGAAUACGUUCCCGGGGCUU